UGCCUUUUAAACGCUUGUUCUGUCUCUUUCUAACUCCUUUGUCUCCGCCGGACUCGGGGUAUCCGCUGGGUGGUGUGGGGCUGGUUUCCCCAACAGCUUUCUCUCCACCCAGCUUCAUAGAUGACACCCUGCCUGCUAGGCCAGAUGUUCUCCGGCCAAGAACACUAUUAUAGCUGCCUGGCUUCUCCCUGAGCAGCGUCAGGUGUGAGGAGUGCGCAUGGCAGCUGCCCAGUGACAGAUGGAAUCUCCCUCUCUCACCCAGGCUGGAGUGCAAUGGCACAAUCAGCUCACUGCAACCUCCACCUCCCGGGUUCAAGUGAUUCUUCUGCCUCAGCCUCCCGAGUAGCUGGGACUACAGCCUUCAUUUCAGUCAACAACCACAUAACAGAUCAUCAAAAUACAUAAAGCAAAAACUGACAGAACUAAAGUUAAAUAUACAUAUCUACAAUUAUGUAGAGAAUAACAAACAAAAAAAUAGAACAAAAAUGUUCCACGCCUUGGUCAAUGGUACCACCAGCCAGCGAGGUUCCCAAGCCAAGAACUUCGGAAGCAUCCGUGAUUCUUCAUCUUCCACAUCCACUUUAUCACCGGAAGCACGCAUUCAACUUUCUAAACAUCCCUCAGACUGACCCACAUCUUUCUAUCCACUUUUCACAUCUUGCUUGAAUGACUUCCCCAGGCCCAGCCAGUCUCCCGCCUCCAGCUCCGCCCCCUUCUGACUCCCUUUAUGUGGUACAAUCAGAGAGCCCUUCCCAAAGCACAAAUCUGCUUUCACUGCUUUGCUUCAAGCCCUUUCGUGGCUCCUAUUUCCAGCUGGAUGAGGUCCAAGCCUCUUAACGUGCUGUACGUGUACAUGCCUGACCCCCGCUACUUGACCAGCCAAGUUUCUUCAUAGCGCUGUGUCUUUGUUCCUCCUGCCUAGAAUGUCCUUCCCCUUUUCUCUCGCUUCAUGGUGUGCCAAACUCCUAUCCUGUGAGAUCCAGCUUACACGUCAGCUUCCCCGUGAUGCUUUUCCUAACUCCCUAUUCAGCCAGUGAAGUGCUCCCUGCGUUCCCAUGUGGCUUGUAUCUCUGUAAAAGCUCCACAGAGCUGUUUUAAUUUAUCCGUUAAUGUACAUGUCUUCCCCACUAGACUUUUGCUCCUUAAAGUAUCUCCUUCAUCUCUGCUUUGCAUAACCUAACAGAGUUCAACACAUAGGAGUGUCUUAAUAAAUGCUGAAUAAAAUAAUUAAUAAACAAAUGAAACAAUA
ensembl:lncRNA GAU1 GALNT8 antisense upstream 1